rnacentral:rRNA from 1 species
GUUAAAAGUGAAAUCCCCAGGGCUCAACCUUGGAAUUGCUUUUAAAACUGCUAAUCUAGAGAUUGAAAGAGGAUAGAGGAAUUCCUAGUGUAGAGGUGAAAUUCGUAAAUAUUAGGAGGAACACCAGUGGCGAAGGCGUCUAUCUGGUUCAAAUCUGACGCUGAGGCGCGAAGGCGUGGGGAGCAAACAGGAUUAGAUACCCUGGUAGUCCACGCUGUAAACGAUGAAUGUUAAAUAUGGGAAGUUUUACUUUCUGUAUUACAGCUAACGCGUUAAACAUUCCGCCUGGGGACUACGGUCGCAAGAUUAAAACUCAAAGGAAUUGACGGGGACCCGCACAAGCGGUGGAGCAUGUGGUUUAAUUCGAUGCAACGCGAAAAACCUUACCACUCCUUGACAUGGAAAUUAUACCUAUUCGAAGGGAUAGGGUCGGUUCGUCCGGGUUUCACACAGGUGUUGCAUGGCUGUCGUCAGCUCGUGUCGUGGGAUGUUGGGUUAAGUCCCGCAACGAGCGCAACCCUCAUCCUUAGUUACCAUCAGGUAAUGCUGGGGACUUUAAGGAAACUGCCAGUGAUAAACUGGAGGAAGGUGGGGAUGAUGUCAAGUCAUCAUGGCCCUUAUGGAGUGGGCUACACACGUGCUACAAUGGUGGCUACAAUGGGCUGCAAAGUCGCGAGGCUAAGCUAAUCCCUUAAAAGCCAUCUCAGUUCGGAUUGUACUCUGCAACUCGAGUGCAUGAAGUUGGAAUCGCUAGUAAUCGUGGAUCAGCACGCCACGGUGAAUACGUUCUCGGGUCUUGUACACACUGCCCGUCACGCCAUGGGAAUUGGUUUCACUCGAAGCUAACGACCUAACCGCAAGGAGGGAGUUAUUUAAAGUGGGAUCGGUGACUGGGGUGAAGUCGUAACAAGGUAGCAGUAGGGGAAUCUGCGGCUGGAUCA